rnacentral:rRNA from 1 species
AGAGUUUGAUCCUGGCUCAGGAUGAACGCUGGCGGCGUGCCUAACACAUGCAAGUCGAGCGUGAACUCUCGGAACGAAACUUCGGUCUAGGGAAGAGGGGGAAAGCGGCGGACGGGUGAGUAACGCGUAGGUAACCUGCCCCAUACAUAGGGAUAGCCUAGGGAAACCUGGAUUAAUACCUAAUAAUGCGAGAAGAUCACAUGGUCAUCUCGCCAAAGAUUCAUCGGUAUGGGAUGGACCUGCGUCUGAUUAGCUAGUUGGUGGGGUAACGGCCUACCAAGGCAACGAUCAGUAGCCGACCUGAGAGGGUAAUCGGCCACAUUGGAACUGAGACACGGUCCAAACUCCUACGGGAGGCAGCAGUGGGGAAUAUUGCACAAUGGGCGCAAGCCUGAUGCAGCAACGCCGCGUGAGUGAAGAAGGUCUUCGGAUCGUAAAACUCUGUCCUUAGGGAAGAAACAAAUGACGGUACCUAAGGAGGAAGCCCCGGCUAACUACGUGCCAGCAGCCGCGGUAAUACGUAGGGGGCAAGCGUUAUCCGGAAUUAUUGGGCGUAAAGAGUACGUAGGUGGUUUUGUAAGCGUGGGGUGAAAGACCGAAGCUUAACUUCGGUUAGCCUUGCGAACUGCAAGACUUGAGUGCAGGAGAGGAAAGUGGAAUUCCUAGUGUAGCGGUGAAAUUCGUAGAUAUCAGGAGGAACACCGAUGGCGAAGGCAGCUUUCUGGACCGAUAUUGACGCUGAGGCGCGAAGGCGUGGGUAGCAAACGGGAUUAGAUACCCUGGUAGUCG